GAUGAACGCUGGCGGCGUGCCUAAUACAUGCAAGUCGAGCGAACGGACGAGAAGCUUGCUUCUCUGAUGUUAGCGGCGGACGGGUGAGUAACACGUGGAUAACCUACCUAUAAGACUGGGAUAACUUCGGGAAACCGGAGCUAAUACCGGAUAAUAUUUUGAACCGCAUGGUUCAAAAGUGAAAGACGGUCUUGCUGUCACUUAUAGAUGGAUCCGCGCUGCAUUAGCUAGUUGGUAAGGUAACGGCUUACCAAGGCAACGAUGCAUAGCCGACCUGAGAGGGUGAUCGGCCACACUGGAACUGAGACACGGUCCAGACUCCUACGGGAGGCAGCAGUAGGGAAUCUUCCGCAAUGGGCGAAAGCCUGACGGAGCAACGCCGCGUGAGUGAUGAAGGUCUUCGGAUCGUAAAACUCUGUUAUUAGGGAAGAACAUAUGUGUAAGUAACUGUGCACAUCUUGACGGUACCUAAUCAGAAAGCCACGGCUAACUACGUGCCAGCAGCCGCGGUAAUACGUAGGUGGCAAGCGUUAUCCGGAAUUAUUGGGCGUAAAGCGCGCGUANGCGGUUUUUUAAGUCUGAUGUGAAAGCCCACGGCUCAACCGUGGAGGGUCAUUGGAAACUGGAAAACUUGAGUGCAGAAGAGGAAAGUGGAAUUCCAUGUGUAGCGGUGAAAUGCGCAGAGAUAUGGAGGAACACCAGUGGCGAAGGCGACUUUCUGGUCUGUAACUGACGCUGAUGUGCGAAAGCGUGGGGAUCAAACAGGAUUAGAUACCCUGGUAGUCCACGCCGUAAACGAUGAGUGCUAAGUGUUAGGGGGUUUCCGCCCCUUAGUGCUGCAGCUAACGCAUUAAGCACUCCGCCUGGGGAGUACGACCGCAAGGUUGAAACUCAAAGGAAUUGACGGGGACCCGCACAAGCGGUGGAGCAUGUGGUUUAAUUCGAAGCAACGCGAAGAACCUUACCAAAUCUUGACAUCCUUUGACAACUCUAGAGAUAGAGCCUUCCCCUUCGGGGGACAAAGUGACAGGUGGUGCAUGGUUGUCGUCAGCUCGUGUCGUGAGAUGUUGGGUUAAGUCCCGCAACGAGCGCAACCCUUAAGCUUAGUUGCCAUCAUUAAGUUGGGCACUCUAAGUUGACUGCCGGUGACAAACCGGAGGAAGGUGGGGAUGACGUCAAAUCAUCAUGCCCCUUAUGAUUUGGGCUACACACGUGCUACAAUGGGCAAUACAAAGGGCAGCGAAACCGCGAGGUCAAGCAAAUCCCAUAAAGUUGUUCUCAGUUCGGAUUGUAGUCUGCAACUCGACUACAUGAAGCUGGAAUCGCUAGUAAUCGUAGAUCAGCAUGCUACGGUGAAUACGUUCCCGGGUCU
rnacentral:rRNA from 1 species